rnacentral:rRNA from 1 species
UACGUAGGGGGCAAGCGUUAUCCGGAUUUUCUGGGUGUAAAGGGAGCGUAGACGGCGAUGCAAGCCAGAUGUGAAAGCCCGGGGCUCAACCCCGGGACUGCAUUUGGAACUGUAUAGCUAGAGUGUCGGAGAGGCAGGCGGAAUUCCUAGUGUAGCGGUGAAAUGCGUAGAUAUUAGGAGGAACACCAGUGGCGAAGGCGGCCUGCUGGACGAUGACUGACGUUGAGGCUCGAAAGCGUGGGGAGCAAACAGG